rnacentral:lncRNA from 1 species
GGUCUAUUUAGAAACAGGAAAAAAAUCAAACUUUUUUUAUUGACUUAAGAACAAAUUUGAAAGGAGAACUGCCUUGAAUGAGUGAGUGCCUUAAGUGAUCUCCCCUUUUAAAAAUUAAUUUUCUCUUUUAUAGCAUAAAAUAUAGUGGUUGUAACAACAGCUUCCACCAGUUCUUGGCUGCUUCUAAAUGCAGGACAGGCUUCUCUUGGUGGGAGUUUUACACUUAGCUUAAUUAAGAAUAAUGGCAGAUCUGCAUAAUGAGCUGGAGUAUAACACCUCACCUUAAAAAAAAAAGAGGAUUAAGUUCAGAGAAAUUCUGAGGCAGUAUGAUAUUUGGCACUGGAAAUCAACCUCCAGGACUAUAAAAUACCCUCAGAGUCACAACUUCCCAUUUCCAUGUCUCCACAUUCCUGGGGUACUGAGCAGUGCCAUGGCCCAUGCCAGCAGCAGAGAAGAACCCCUCUAAACCCUGUCUGAGGGACCAGAUACUGACUAAAUAUUGACCAGGAUGCAGGAGCUCAGCUGCUCCCAGCCUUCAGCCACCCCUUAACCCAGUGGGAAGGAAUGAGUGGUGCUAACCUGAGUCAAGACAGUGCCUGUGAAGAGGAGUGUCUUGGCUUUGACUCAGGUCUUCAUCCAAAGGGACUUACACAAAGGGGCUUCAUGUCCCCAAGCCUCAGCUCCCACCCUACAGAAGUGCCACAGCUUUGUCCUGAAUCCUGUUCUUUCCAGAGGAGAAUUUACAGGCUUCAAAGCAUGGGACUGAGUCUUGGAACAUCCAGUCUCAACAAACAUCCAGUUCCAGCAACGAACCUGGUGACGUUUGGCAAAUCUUCAGAAAACAGCUCCACGGACCACACUGGAGUUCCAUGCAAUGGUACAGCCCCAUGGUUUGUGCAUACCAGUAUUCUGGAUCUUUUUAUGUGUUCUCUGAGUUUCAUCAGGAUUAUUGUCCACUCCGACAAGGCUGUGGGGCAAACUCUAAGGAGGAGACACCAAUGGCAAAAGUCCUGCUAACUUCACUGAAAUCAAGCUGUCAGCCUGGACACUUGGAUGCCUGAGGUCCUGUAGCUGCUCUGGGGGUAAAGUUCUACUGUAUAAAUAAUUGAACUAGGGAGAAAGGUAAUCUUGUUUUACACAAACACACACAAAUUCUCAUGUCUCAAAACUGAACUUCCUGCUCUAGAACUUAAUCUUUAACCUCUCAUUUAGUGGAUCUCAAUACUUUUCACGAAGAAUGAUAUAUUCCUGCCCAUUAUAAUUUUAAAAAAGCACAGUAAAACUCAAAAAUAAUAUUAUGUAUGUAUUAUGUAACAUUAUGGGUGUAACAUUAUGAGUCAACUGCUGUUUAGCCAGUUUGUCCUACACAUGCCCCACUGAAAUGUAAAGUACAGCCACUGGCAAAGUCUUCACAUGCUGUAACAACUCUCAUGAUGGACAAAAAGGACUGACUGGAGAAGACUGGCAGGUUGCAAGGUGUUAACCUGUACUUCUCUGGAGAUUAUGUGGAUGUUGAGGUCUUUGAAAUAAUGUGAGAAUUCUCAAAGAAAGUUUCUUUGGUGUUUUUUUAUCUACUUCCUCUCCCAGUUUGAACCAGCAUCAGCAGCUGAAGACCAAAUCUUGGAGUUUUGGGGAAAAACGUUAGGUUGGUUUUUAUUAUGAGUAAUAAUAUUUACAGUACAAUAGAGCCUGGAGGCCAACAAGAUUGAGAUCCAUUGUAGUAAAUGAAAACCACUUGUCUCCAAG